rnacentral:rRNA from 1 species
UGAGUACGAGAUGCUACGGCGUCGAAGCAGUCUAGGUCAUACUUCCAAGAAAAGCUUGCACUGUCAUAAACAAAGAAUGCCUGUACCAUAACCGACACAGGUGGGUAGGUAGAGUAUACUAAGGGGCGCGAGAUAACUCUCUCUAAGGAACUCGGCAAAAUGACUCCGUAACUUCGGGAGAAGGAGUGCCUUAUUUUUAAGGUUGCAAUAACAAGAUCCAAGCAACUGUUUACCAAAAACACAGGUCUCCGCUAAGUCGUAAGACGAUGUAUGGGGGCUGACGCCUGCCCAGUGCCAGAAGGUUAAAGAAGUUGGUUAGCAUUUGCGAAGCUGAUAACUGAAGCCCUGGUGAACGGCGGCCGUAACGAUAACGGUCCUAAGGUAGCGAAAUUCCUUGUCGGGUAAGUUCCGACCCGCACGAAAGGCGUAAUGAUUUGGAUACUGUCUCGGAGAGGGGCUCGGUGAAAUAGACUUGUCUGUGAAGAUGCGGACUACCUGCACCUGGACAGAAAGACCCUAUGAAGCUUUACUGUAACUUGAGAUUGAAAUUGGACUUUAUUUGCGCAGUAUAGGUGGGAGGCGUUGAGAAUAAUCUUGCGGGAUUAUCGGAGCCAUCAGUGAGAUACCACUCUUGUAAUGUUAGAUUUCUAACUUUGUAUCAUUAUCUGGUCAAAGAACAGUUUCAGGCGGGCAGUUUGACUGGGGCGGUCGCCUCCCAAAGGGUAACGGAGGCGCACAAAGGUUUCCUCUGAACGGGUAGAAAUCGUAUCUAGAGUGUAAAGGCAUAAGGAAGCUUGACUGUGAGACCUACAAGUCGAGCAGGGACGAAAGUCGGUCUUAGUGAUCUGACGGUGCUGAGUGGAAAGGCCGUCACUCAACGGAUAAAAGUUACUCUAGGAUAACAGGCUGAUCUCCCCCAAGAGUUCACAUCGACGGGGAGGUUUGGCACCUCGAUGUCGGCUCAUCGCAUCCUGGGGCGGUAGUACGUCCCAAGGGUUGGGCUGUUCGCCCAUGAAAGCGGUACGCGAGCUGGGUUCAGAACGUCGUGAGACAGUUCGGUCCAUAUCCGGUGUAGGCGUUAGAAUAUUGAAAGGAGCCUUCUCUAGUACGAGAGGACCGAGAAGGACAUACCUCUGGUGUGCCAGUUAUCGUGCCAACGGUAAACGCUGGGUAGCUAUGUAUGGAGUGGAUAACCGCUGAAAGCAUCUAAGUGGGAAGCCCACCUUAAGAUAAG